GACGAACGCUGGCGGCGUGCUUAACACAUGCAAGUCGAACGGAAAGGCCCUGCUUUUGUGGGGUGCUCGAGUGGCGAACGGGUGAGUAACACGUGAGUAACCUGCCCUUGACUUUGGGAUAACUUCAGGAAACUUGGGCUAAUACCGGAUAGGAGCUCCUGCUGCAGGGUGGGGGUUGGAAAGUUUAGGCGGUUGGGGAUGGACUCGCGGCUUAUCAGCUUGUUGGUGGGGUAGUGGCUUACCAAGGCUUUGACGGGUAGCCGGCCUGAGAGGGUGACCGGGCACAUUGGGACUGAGAUACGGACCAGACGCCUACGUGAGGCAGUAGGGGGGAAUAUUGCACAAUGGGCGGAAGCCUGAUGCGGCAACGCCGCGUGUGGGAUGACGGCCUUCGGGUUGUAAACCGCUUUCGCCUGUGACGAAGCGUGAGUGACGGUAAUGGGUAAAGAAGCACCGGCUAACUACGUG
rnacentral:rRNA from 1 species